rnacentral:rRNA from 1 species
GACAUAGGAUGCAAGCAUUAUCCGGAAUGAUUGGGCGUAAAGCGUCUGUAGGUGGCUUUUCAAGUCUGUCAUCAAAUCCCAGGGAUCAACCCUGGACAGGCGGUGGAAACUACCAAGCUAGAGUACGGUAGGGGCAGAGGGAAUUUCCGAUGGAGCGGUGAAAUGCAUUGAGAUCAGAAAGAACACCAAUGGCGAAAGCACUCUACUGGGCCGACACUGACACUGAGAGACGAAAGCUAGGGGAGCAAAUGGG